AAAACAGAUUUGGGAACAAGGAAAUGGUCAAGUGGUCCAAUUGGAUUAUGGAAACACUCAUCUACAAAGACUUUGCAGACAAUGGGAACUGUAUCAGCCGCAUGCAUCUCUUAUGUGGAAAACUCAAUGUGUUAAGGAAUCAAGAUAUAUUUUUACUCUUGUUCAGUUUUAUUAUUUCUAGUAUUAUAAAUAUUUUAUUUGUUAUUUUAUUUUAUUAUUUCAGUUUUUAUAAAAUUAAAUAAUUUAGAAUCAAGGAAAAUGAAAAUGAUGAUUACUUUAAAUCAAUUUAUAAUGCAUAUACUAAUUUCAAUUAACAAUAUAUAUACCAAAAUCUAAUUAAUUAUAAUUUUUAUGUAACGCAUUAUAUUUUGUAUAAUAAACGUGAGUACUCAUUAGUUUGAAUAAUAUAUUUAUAUGAAAAAAACAUUUAUAUGAAAAUCACAGAUAUUAAUUAAUAUCAUAGAAAAAGUCAAUAUCCAAUUAACAGUCAAAAUAGUUUUCAGUUGAAAAUUAGUAUCGUUUGGAUAUGUCUGAGUCAACUAUAUCAAACUUGAUCGAUGUUUCAAAAGUUCAAACACCAAUCUGCCUACUUUUUUGUUUGUUUCUCACGUUGUUGUUUUAUUUCCAUUCAAAGUAGCAUCCUUUGAAAAAUCAUGAGCGAAGUGGAUUUUGAUUACUCAACCUUUGAAAUUAAAGUGUUUUUCAAAACAAUUGUUAUAAAAAAUUUGGCCUGUACUCGAGUGAAAAAGCAAAAAUCUUAGGUAAAUAAUAACGGGUUGCCAACUAACUAAUUUUGGAAUUAAAAUUAAGAAAAUAGCUUUGAUUCGAUGUUACUAAUCUAACAACAUUUCAGCACAUUUGUCCAAAUAUACGCUUAUUGUUUCUAAGUACAGGUGAUAGAGAACGCAAGAGAUGACAUCGACGAGUGCAAAUAUGGCCAGCAGAAAUUGAGGUUGAAGAUGGUCUAAUAUAUACAUAACUAUGAUGUCCAGUUAAUCGUAAACAUUUACCUUCGAUAAAGCUCAAUUUUUAACCUCAUAUUUAUACAACUAUCGGAUUGAAUGUGUAACUUUCCAAAAGAUAAGGACAUGUUGAUGGAAACAACGUAACAAAUCAUCCGCAAAUUAUCAAAAAGAUCAUCACAUGUAAAAUAGUAUUGAACUACUAAUUAAUACAUAAACAAAUGGUAUAGAUAAUAAAUAUUUUGAAAUAUUGUAUACAAAUGAAAAUAUAAAUAUAAAUAGACUGAACAUGAUAAAUA